rnacentral:rRNA from 1 species
CCUACGGGUGGCAGCAGUCGAGAAUCAUUCACAAUGGGGGAAACCCUGAUGGUGCGACGCCGCGUGGGGGAAUGAAGGUCUUCGGAUUGUAAACCCCUGUCAUGUGGGAGCAAAUUAAAAAGAUAGUACCACAAGAGGAAGAGACGGCUAACUCUGUGCCAGCAGCCGCGGUAAUACAGAGGUCUCAAGCGUUGUUCGGAAUCACUGGGCGUAAGGCGUGCGUAGGCGGUUUAGUAAGUCGUGUGUGAAAGGCGCGGGCUCAACCCGCGGACGGCACAUGAUACUGCGAGACUAGAGUAAUGGAGGGGGAACCGGAAUUCUCGGUGUAGCAGUGAAAUGCGUAGAUAUCGAGAGGAACACUCGUGGCGAAGGCGGGUUCCUGGACAUUAACUGACGCUGAGGCACGAAGGCCAGGGGAGCGAAAGGGAUUAGAUACCCGUGUAGUC